CUCCUCUGAUGGGAAAGAGCCUGAUUUCUCUGCAGGCAGCAUUGGCGUCUUCCCCGCGAUCUAGCAGCGGGGCUGCACCCUGGAUUGUCUCCUCAUUAGGGUGGGGUGGAAAGAACCAGUAUGCAGCCUUCUCAGGAGAUCGUAACUUUCCAGGAAGUGUACGUGUGUU